rnacentral:rRNA from 1 species
UACGGGGGGGGCAAGCGUUGUUCGGAAUUACUGGGCGUAAAGGGCUCGUAGGCGGCCAACUAAGUCCGACGUGAAAUCCCCAGGCUUAACCUGGGAACUGCGUCGGAUACUGGAUGGCUUGAAUCCGGGAGAGGGAUGCGGAAUUCCAGGUGUAGCGGUGAAAUGCGUAGAUAUCAAGAGGAACACCUGAGGUGAAGACGGGUUGCUGGGCCAACACUGACGCUGAGGCGCGAAAGCCAGGGGAGCAAACGGG